GGCGUUAAGUCGACCGCCUGGGGAGUACGGCCGCAAGGUUAAAACUCAAAUGAAUUGACGGGGGCCCGCACAAGCGGUGGAGCAUGUGGUUUAAUUCGAUGCAACGCGAAGAACCUUACCUGGUCUUGACAUCCAGAGAAUCCUGCAGAGAUGCGGGAGUGCCUUCGGGAACUCUGAGACAGGUGCUGCAUGGCUGUCGUCAGCUCGUGUUGUGAAAUGUUGGGUUAAGUCCCGCAACGAGCGCAACCCUUAUCCUUUGUUGCCAGCGGUCCGGCCGGGAACUCAAAGGAGACUGCCGGUGAUAAACCGGAGGAAGGUGGGGAUGACGUCAAGUCAUCAUGGCCCUUACGACAAGGGCUACACACGUGCUACAAUGGCGCAUACAAAGAGAAGCGACCUCGCGAGAGCAAGCGGACCUCAUAAAGUGCGUCGUAGUCCGGAUUGGAGUCUGCAACUCGACUCCAUGAAGUCGGAAUCGCUAGUAAUCGUGGAUCAGAAUGCCACGGUGAAUACGUUCCCGGGCCUUGUACACACCGCCCGUCACACCAUGGGAGUGGGUUGCAAAAGAAGUAGGUAGCUUAACCUUCGGGAGGGCGCUUACCACUUUGUGAUUCAUGACUGGGGUGAAGUCGUAACAAGGUAACCGUAGGGGAACCUGCGGUUGGAUCACCUCCUUA
rnacentral:rRNA from 1 species